UGGGGAAUAUUGGACAAUGGGCGAAAGCCUGAUCCAGCCAUGCCGCGUGUGUGAAGAAGGUCUUCGGAUUGUAAAGCACUUUAAGUUGGGAGGAAGGGCAGUAAGCGAAUACCUUGCUGUUUUGACGUUACCGACAGAAUAAGCACCGGCUAACUCUGUGCCAGCAGCCGCGGUAAUACAGAGGGUGCAAGCGUUAAUCGGAAUUACUGGGCGUAAAGCGCGCGUAGGUGGUUCGUUAAGUUGAAUGUGAAAGCCCCGGGCUCAACCUGGGAACUGCAUCCAAAACUGGCGAGCUAGAGUAGGGCAGAGGGUGGUGGAAUUUCCUGUGUAGCGGUGAAAUGCGUAGAUAUAGGAAGGAACUCCAGUAGCGAGGGCGACCACCUGGGCUCAUACUGACACUGAGGUGCGAAAGCGUGGGGAGCAAACAGG
rnacentral:rRNA from 1 species